AUCGAACGCUGGCGGCAGGCCUAACACAUGCAAGUAGAACGAGUGGCGGACGGGUGAGUAAUGUCUGGGAAACUGCAUGAUGGAGGGGGAUAACGACUGGAAACUGUAGCUAAUAGCGCAUAACAUCGGAUGUGCCCAGAUGGGAUUAGCUAGUUGGUGGGGUAACGGCUCACCUAGGCGACGCUCCCUAGCGGGUCUGAGAGGAUGGCCAGCAACACUGGAAUGGAGCCACGGCCCAGACUCCAACGGGAGUCAGCGGAGGGAAAUAUUGGACAAUGGGAGCAAGCUUGAUGCCGCAAGGCGGGUUAUAGGAAGAGGGCCUUGGGGUUGUAAGGUACGUUCAGAGGGGAGACGUUACCCGCACAAGAAGCACCGGCUAACUCCGUGCCAGCAGCCGCGGUAAUAC
rnacentral:rRNA from 1 species